CGUGAAUGAAGGGAGUUUGCAGCAGGAUGAGUUUUAGGCAGAGCUGUCUCGAAGUAUCACCUUCUUGUGCUUUGCAGUAAAACUUUCAGUUUGAAGCACAAGAUGAGCAAUGUGCUGCUGAGCUCCUCCUUUCAGACCUUUCUGAAGUUGGAAACAGAAACAUGAAGAAAGCAUUCAGAAGUAUUGGAGUAGCCUGGCUUGGUGAAUGAAGUACGUAAGAUCCAUACUUCUAUCUUGGUUCUGAAAUGUGUCCCUCACUUCAGUUCUCAUUCAAAACACUGCAGCAUUGUCUUGAGAACAACUUGAACAUUUCAUUCCUGUUAUCUGUGAAUAAAUCUCCAGAUCACCCCAAACCUCAUGUACUUGCAUAAAAUAAGUGGUGACAGAGGGAAGAGACUGAGAAUUCAGGUGGAAAGAAGGAAAGCAGUUCUUGAAAGUGAGAGAUAUGGUGAGAUUUUCUUUCUAUUGGUUGUCAAUGCAUGUUACUGCUGAGUCAUAGGGUUUGAAAUGUGCAAUUUAUGCCUGUGAAAAAUGCUGUACCCAAACUGUUUUCACAGUUAGUUCUUUAGAUAUGGAUACUGGAGUUCAACAUGCCAUGUUUCAGAAGCUAACUAACACCUAUUAAAUGAGCAUCCAACAUUGGUUUAUUAUCUAAAGUUUAUUGCAAUUAUUCCACCUGUGGUGUAUGCAUAAAUGAAUGUGAAAUCAGACUGUUCACUAUUUUAACAGUGUUUUUACAACACUUUAACAUCACCUCAUGGUGUUUC